rnacentral:tRNA from 1 species
GGGCAUGUAGCGCAGUUGGUAGCGCGCUCGCUUAGCAAACCGUGAACCGGAUGCCUGCGAGAGGUCCUCGAUUCGAAUUCGGGCUUGUCCA